GUUCCUACGGGGGGCAGCAGUGAGGAAUAUUGGUCAAUGGCCGGAAGGCUGAACCAGCCAAGCCGCGUGAGGGAGGAAGGCGCAGAGCGUCGCAGACCUCUUUUGCCGGGGGACAAAAGGCCGGACUCGUCCGGUCCUGAGGGUACCCGGAGAAAAAGCAUCGGCUAACUCCGUGCCAGCAGCCGCGGUAAUACGGAGGAUGCGAGCGUUAUCCGGAUUUAUUGGGUUUAAAGGGUGCGUAGGCGGAUCGUUAAGUCAGUGGUCAAAUUGAGGGGCUCAACCCCUUCCCGCCAUUGAAACUGGCG
rnacentral:rRNA from 1 species